rnacentral:rRNA from 1 species
AUACGGAGGGUGCAAGCGUUAAUCGGAAUUACUGGGCGUAAAGCGUACGUAGGCGGUUCGUUAAGUUAGAUGUGAAAGCCCCGGGCUUAACCUGGGAACUGCAUUUAAAACUGGCGAACUAGAGUUGAGUAGAGGGGAGUGGAAUUUCAGGUGUAGCGGUGAAGUGCGUAGAGAUCUGAAGGAACACCAGUGGCGAAGGCGACUCCCUGGACUCGAACUGACGCUGAGGUACGAAAGCGUGGGUAGCAAACGGGAUUAGAAACCCUAGUAGUCC